rnacentral:ncRNA from 1 species
CCCCCGUGAAAAUGCCCUUUAACCUUCCCAGGUUGAAGACGCUGGUAUCAGGCCCUACCUCAAGCCCAUAACACCUAGCUACGCCACACCCCCAAGGGAACUCAGCAGUGACCAACAUUAAAAAUAAACGUCAGUUUGAUCUAGUUAAAGUAAAUAGAGCCGGCAAAUCUGGUGCCAGCAGCCGCGGCUACACCACGUGACUCAAAUUGAUUUAGACCGGCGUAAAGCGUGAUUAAAGCACCCAAAUAUUAGAAUUAAACUUAAACUAGGCUGUAGAAUGCUUGUUCUUAAGAAACGCAAAAACGAAAGUUAUUCUAUCUUACCCCACCUGAACUCACGACAACUAGGACACAAACUAGGAUUAGAUACCCUACUAUGCCUAAUCGUAAACUUUUAUUUACACCCAUAACGCCUGGGAACUACGAGCCAAGCUUAAAACCCAAAGGACUUGACGGUACCCCAUAUCCCCCUAGAGGAGCCUGUCCUAGAAUCGAUGAUCCCCGCUAAACCUCACCACUUUUUGCCUUUCAGCCUGUAUACUUCCGUCGUCAGCUCACCCCCUCAGGGACACAAAGUGAGCCCCAUGUCCCUCAUCAUCACGUCAGGUCCAAGUGCAGCUAAUAAAGUGGGAAGAGAUGGGCUACACUCUCUAAACUAGAAAAAACUUAACCCUGCAUGAAACCCAGGAAAAAAGGUGGAUUUAGUAGUAAAAAGAAAACAUAGUGUUCUUUUUAACUAGGUUCUGGGGUGUGUACACACCGCCCGUCACCCUCUUCGAAAUACAAACUCUAGUUUUUAACAAACUCUCUCAAUAGAGAAGAGGUAAGUCGUAACAUGGUAAGCACACCGGAAGGUAUGCUUGGAAA